CUAUCUCUCUUUCACUCUCGCUCUUAUUCUCACUCUCCCUCUCGCUAUCACUCCUUAUCCCUUGUUAUAAUCUUUCUCACUUUCUUAUUUUCCAAAACCCUUUAUUAUUAUUUAAAACUUAGCAGAAAUACGAAAACCCAUGUUUAGCCAUGCUAUUGCGGACUAUCGAAAUUUUCAAUAUCGAUUAUACUCUUAUAUCGGACGUAUCGCGAACGCAAAACCGCUAACUACACUACCACUAAGACAGUUGACAUUGGGACAUACAGUAACCUGACAUCCUGAUCCAUUAAAGUUUGUGAGUACAUCACAACAAUGCCUGCACAGUAAAGGACAGACUCUCGAUCAUAAACCACCAAGUCUAAAAGCCCGAAAUUAAUCAGAGAUAGAGAACAGCUGAUUGGAUAAAUUAUGACAAUACAAGUGAUUCUAGUGAUAUGAGCGAAUGCAAUUUUGACUUUGAUAAUUCAAAUUCUAACAAUGAUAUCACAAAUUUAUCAG